AAUGCACUGUGGCGACGACAGUGUGAAGCAAUCUACGGCGGAGUGACGUUAGCGGUGGAAUCGUGCUUGGUCGUGGGAUGUGGCAUUGUGCGGCGUGAGAGGAGAAUCAUGGUGAGAGGCUGAGAGCUGAGUGACCGAGUGAGAAAGAAAGAUGGGAAUGAGGAAAUUUGAGGAGUGGCUUGGAGGUGUGCAAAACGGCUUUGCUCCCAUUUAAAUGGAAUUGUGUCGUUCCAGUCAAUCAAUUGAAAAAAUUUCAGAUGCAAAAUGACAUCCAUUGCAUCUAAAUUUAAAAAAAAUAAAUAGUCGGAAGUUGGAGUGUUCAGAAAUCGGAUUCAGAGGGAACGAGUCGGAAUAGGAAGAGUUGGAAAUUUGAACACCCCUAGCCAUUCUGUGACAUAUUUUGUUUAACAGCACUGGCAUCUUGCCAAGUGCCAGUGAACUCUAAAUUUUACAUUUUUGUGAGGUAAAAAAAUUCCUACAUUGGCACUGUAAAAGGACCAAACCUUUAUUUUGUUCUUUCCGUCCAAUUGCCUUCUCUCUUUCCCUCACAUUUCUCUUCCUUCUGUUUUGCGAUUCCUAGGGUUUUCAGUGCUUUCUUCUAUAAUCGUCGCUUCAAACACACUUUACAGUUGCAGUUGAUCCAGCUGAUGUGAAUGCAAUAGCAACAACUGUCAAGAGAGCUCUUGCAACCUAUGGCACCCCUACCUUGAAAGAGAUGAUCCUGAAUUGCAUGGCCCAAGAUCUUUCGUGGAAGGUCAGUAUGAUAUUAACAUGCUGGAGCAAGAGCCAGAGCUCAUUCAUCAUAUUAGCAGUUGGCAUUUCACCUUAUUCAAGUGCCAAUUCAUGAGCAAGAGCAACAUGCCUGGUGAAGAACUAAUUACUGUUUUGCAAUUCUGCUUUUAGAGGGUUAUUGAUGUUUUAAAGCUGUGUAUACAAGAGUGAUACAAAGCUAACAUGUGCUGUUAUGAACCAAAGAACAGGAGGUUUUUGGCAGUUAUUGGUUAAUAAAAGUAUUAAGUAGUAUGUAAUAGGUCAA